CUGGGAUCUCUCAAGCCAUUUGCUCCUGCUGUGAUGCUCCAACUCCUCUCUCCCCACCAGGAACCUGGGAUUGCUGAGCCUUGUUUUGUCCCAGGGAUGCUGCCUCGUGCGAUGCUGAAGGAGCCGGAGCAUUCUCCCCCUUGGUGCAGCCCCUUGCCCACCCGCCCCGAGCCUGGUGAUGCUCUGGGGGCUGCAGCCCACCCUCACCUUGCACUCAGCUGCCCUUCAAAUUACUGCACACAGCAGUUCUCUUCUGCUUGAGCGUCCGCCAGCAGGUCCCCAGCAGGUGAUGCUUUGGAGGCAGCUCCUGAAGCUUGGUCAUGAGCCCAUGAUGGCCAACAGCUUUCUGAUGGUGGUGGAGGUAGGGAAUCUUCUUCUAUGGAGCAAAGCCCACAGAGGGGCUGGAUGUUUGUACCUUUCAGUGAUGUUUUGCUGUCUUGGGUGCACUUGAGAUGCCUCCUGCAGCUGUGGCCAGGGAGGGAAACCUGUGUGCUGAUGUAAAGUGAGAUCCUGGGGUGCGUUCAGGCUUUUUAGUUGCAGUCAGGAUCACUGGGGCUCUGUUGGCUGCUGCCUUGGAGGUGCCCGAUCCAUCAACACCUCUGACAGCUCAAGGUUUUGCUGUGGGUCUCCCUUGCACUUCAAGCCAUGAUGGUUUUCCCCCCCUGGUUUGGUCUGGGACUGGUACCCAAAGUG